UCGUGCUAGACGGGGCAGUAGCGGUGCCCUGUACCCGCAAUCCGCUAGAGCGGGGUCGAAUUCCCAUCCGAGGAUUGAUCUUGUAGAGUCUGGUUUAGGUAAGUGGUGUUGACGAUUGGGU
rnacentral:SRP_RNA from 1 species